UACGAAGGGGGCUAGCGUUGCUCGGAAUCACUGGGCGUAAAGCGCACGUAGGCGGACUCUUAAGUCGGUGGUGAAAUCCUGGAGCUCAACUCCAGAACUGCCUUCGAUACUGAGAGUCUCGAGUCCGGGAGAGGUGAGUGGAACUGCGAAGUGUAGAGGUGAAAUUCGUAGAUAUUCGCAAGAACACCAGUGGCGAAGGCGACUUACUGGACACAUAUUUGACGCUGAGGUGCGAAAAGCGUGGGGGAGCAAAACAGG
rnacentral:rRNA from 1 species